CCUACGGGAGGCAGCAGUGGGGAAUAUUGGGCAAUGGAGGAAACUCUGACCCAGCAACGCCGCGUGAAUGAUGAAGGUCUUCGGAUUGGAAAGCUCUUUUCUAAGGGGAGAAGAAAGUGACGGUACCUUAGGAAUAAGCCUCGGCUAACUACGUGCCAGCAGCCGCGGUAAUACGUAGGAGGCGAGCGUUAUCCGGAAUGACGGGGCGUAAAGGGUGCGUAGGUGGUUUGGCAAGUUAGUAGCGUAACUCCAAGGCUCAACCUUGGAACUACUACUAAAACUGUUGGACUUGAGUGCAGGAGGGGCAAGCGGAAUUCCUAGUGUAGCGGUGGAAUGCGUAGAUAUUAGGAGGAACACCAGUGGCGAAGGCGGGUUGCUGGACUGUAACUGACGCUGAGGCACGAAAGCGUGGGGAGCAAACAGGAUUAGAUACCCGAGUAGUC
rnacentral:rRNA from 1 species